UACGUAGGUGGCAAGCGUUGUCCGGAAUUAUUGGGCGUAAAGCGCGCGCAGGCGGUCCUUUAAGUCUGAUGUGAAAGCCCACGGCUCAACCUCGGAACUGCCUUCGAUACUGCGGGUCUCGAGUCCGGGAGAGGUGAGUGGAAUUCCUAGUGUAGAGGUGAAAUUCGUAGAUAUUAGGAAGAACACCAGUGGCGAAGGCGGCUCACUGGCCCCGGUACUGACGCUGAGG
rnacentral:rRNA from 1 species